ensembl:lncRNA
GGGAUUUGCUGAACACAUGGCCGUCUGUGCCACUGUGUGAUCAUUUCAGUGUAAGGGGAAAGCCCAGGAAGGCUUCUCAGGGGAGGUGACAUCCGGUCCGAGGCCUGAGGAUGACAUUACCACAACUCCAUCGUGCAGACCAAGAACCCAAGAGCUGGAGAAGUGAUUAGCUCAAGGCCAGGGGAAGACACAGGCGCAUCUCUUCCUGGUUGGAGCGGAAGAUCCAGUCGGUGUGACUUGCAGUCUCGAUUCCUUCUCCCCUGAAGACCUAGGGAGCCGGCAGGGCAGGAGUGGCCCCCUGGGCCAGAGCCCCUGGACCCCACAGCCAUCUGGCACCUCCUCGGCUUUCGUCCCAACAGGGGUUACAGAUGUGAGCUGGACAGUGUGGGAAUGCAGCUUCGCAGCAGUAAUUAGUUUAUUCCUGAGGUCAGCAGUAUAAAUAGUAGAAAAAUGUAUUUCCUGUUCCAAGCCAAAUAAGCAAGUGGCAGCCAGUUGGCCAGGCGCCAUUGAUGGGAUUUCAGCCGUGCGUGUGCCUUGCCUUUGGCCACGAGUUUGGGCGGGAGAGCAGAGAAGGAAUGUUCCUCCACAGGCCCAGUCCUGCCCUUGCUUGGUGACUUAUUGGGAUGGCUCCAAUAGCCUGACACCUACCCAGAGGACUAUAUGAUGGUCAAGAAAUGAAGGAAGCAAGGAAGAUGCCUUGUGCCUUUGCCAGUCCCAGGGCCCCGCCUCUACCCUUUGACCACCCUCACUGCUCUUGGCUGCCUCCUCCUCAGCUUUCAAGCUGAGGUCAUUGUUACUAGAAGGCUCCUUGACUGUCCAUACUGGUCCCCUUUUCUGUGCUUCCAAGCCCCGGUGUGGCCCCUGGCAGAACUUCCAUCACAGUGGUAGAUCCUUGUCUGGAUCCUGGAAGCAAGGGCCUGGUUCGGGUUCUUCUCUGUGUCCCAGGAG